CAGCUCAAACUGACUCAACGACAGCAGUGAUUCCAGUCCACAUCUCAAACACACACGUAACUAAAGACAUAAUCACAGAUCCAGCAGAAGCUGAAGUCUGUAGGACGGCUGGAUUAUUAUUCAGAGUGAUUGUGAUUAUUGUUGAGUUUGCAGCGUUUGCUGCUCCUACUGUGAUUCUUCUUCAGAUCAUCUGUGCAAGAAGAGCUGGGAGGAAGAACUCGCAGCACCCAGAGGAAAUAGAGAUUAAUACAAUAUUAGAGUAACAUGGGAGGUGUGACAACUGAGUUGAGGAUCCAAGUGCAGGCUUGAU